UCGAGGGGUAUAAGUCUUCGGAUUUAGAGACCGGCGCACGGGUGCGUAACGCGUAUGCAAUCUACCUUUCACAGAGGGAUAGCCCAGAGAAAUUUGGAUUAAUACCUCAUAGUAUAGCUGAACCGCAUGGUUCUACUAUUAAAGUCACAACGGUGAAAGAUGAGCAUGCGUCCCAUUAGCUAGUUGGUAAGGUAACGGCUUACCAAGGCUACGAUGGGUAGGGGUCCUGAGAGGGAGAUCCCCCACACUGGUACUGAGACACGGACCAGACUCCUACGGGAGGCAGCAGUGAGGAAUAUUGGUCAAUGGACGCAAGUCUGAACCAGCCAUGCCGCGUGCAGGAUGACGGUCCUAUGGAUUGUAAACUGCUUUUGCACAGGAAGAAACAACUCUACGUGUAGAGUCUUGACGGUACUGUGAGAAUAAGGAUCGGCUAACUCCGUGCCAGCAGCCGCGGUAAUACGGAGGAUCCAAGCGUUAUCCGGAAUCAUUGGGUUUAAAGGGUCCGUAGGCGGUUUAGUAAGUCAGUGGUGAAAGCCCAUCGCUCAACGGUGGAACGGCCAUUGAUACUGCUAGACUUGAAUUAUUAGGAAGUAACUAGAAUAUGUAGUGUAGCGGUGAAAUGCUUAGAGAUUACAUGGAAUACCAAUUGCGAAGGCAGGUUACUACUAAUGGAUUGACGCUGAUGGA
rnacentral:rRNA from 1 species